rnacentral:rRNA from 1 species
AUUGAACGCUGGCGGCAUGCCUUACACAUGCAAGUCGAACGGUAACAGGUCUUCGGAUGCUGACGAGUGGCGAACGGGUGAGUAAUACAUCGGAAUGUGCCUAGUAGUGGGGGAUAACUACUCGAAAGAGUGGCUAAUACCGCAUGAGAUCUACGGAUGAAAGCAGGGGAUCGCAAGACCUUGUGCUACUAGAGCGGCCGAUGGCAGAUUAGGUAGUUGGUGGGAUAAAAGCUUACCAAGCCGACGAUCUGUAGCUGGUCUGAGAGGACGAUCAGCCACACUGGGACUGAGACACGGCCCAGACUCCUACGGGAGGCAGCAGUGGGGAAUUUUGGGCAAUGGGCGAAAGCCUGAUUCAGCAAUGCCGCGUGCAGGAUGAAGGCCUUCGGGUUGUAAACUGCUUUUGUACGGAACGAAAAGCCCCGGGUUAAUACCCUGGGGUCAUGACGGUACCGUAAGAAUAAGCACCGGCUAACUACGUGCCAGCCGCCGCCGUAA